UCCCUGAUAGCUCAUUUGGUAAAGAAUCUGCCUGCAAUGCAGGAGACCUGGGUUCGAUCCCUGGAUUGGGAA
rnacentral:tRNA from 1 species